rnacentral:rRNA from 1 species
ACAGGGAUUGCCCUAGUAACGGCGAGUGAAGCGGCAACAGCUCAAAUUUGAAAUCUGGCGUCUUCGGCGUCCGAGUUGUAAUUUGCAGAGGGCGCUUUGGCAUUGGCAGCGGUCCAAGUUCCUUGGAACAGGACGUCACAGAGGGUGAGAAUCCCGUACGUGGUCGCUAGCCUUUACCGUGUAAAGCCCCUUCGACGAGUCGAGUUGUUUGGGAAUGCAGCUCUAAAUGGGAGGUAAAUUUCUUCUAAAGCUAAAUACUGGCCAGAGACCGAUAGCGCACAAGUAGAGUGAUCGAAAGAUGAAAAGCACUUUGGAAAGAGAGUUAAAAAGCACGUGAAAUUGUUGAAAGGGAAGCGCUUGCAGCCAGACUUGCCUGUAGUUGCUCAUCCGGGUUUCUACCCGGUGCACUCUUCUAUAGGCAGGCCAGCAUCAGUUUGGGCGGUUGGAUAAAGGUCUCUGUCAUGUACCUCUCUUCGGGGAGAUCUUAUAGGGGAGACGACAUGCAACCAGCCUGGACUGAGGUCCGCGCAUCUGCUAGGAUGCUGGCGUAAUGGCUGUAAGCGGCCCGUCUUGAAACACGGACCAAGGAGUCUAACAUCUAUGCGAGUGUUUGGGUGUCAAGCCCGAGCGCGUAAUGAAAGUGAACGGAGGUGGGAACCUUUCGGGGUGCACCAUCGACCGAUCCUGAUGUCUUCGGAUGGAUUUGAGUAAGAGCAUAGCUGUUGGGACCCGAAAGAUGGUGAACUAUGCUUGAAUAGGGUGAAGCCAGAGGAAACUCUGGUGGAGGCUCGCAGCGGUUCUGACGUGCAAAUCGAUCGUCAAAUUUGGGCAUAGGGGCGAAAGACUAAUCGAACUAUCUAGUAGCUGGUUCCUGCCGAAGUUUCCCUCAGGAUAGCAGUAACGUUUUCAGUUUUAUGAGGUAAAGCGAAUGAUUAGAGGCCUGGGGGUUGAAACAACCUU